rnacentral:rRNA from 1 species
UAAGGAAUAUUGGUCAAUGGACGCAAGUCUGAACCAGCCAUGCCGCGUGAAGGAUGAAGGUCCUCUGGAUUGUAAACUUCUUUUAUCUGGGACGAAAACGGGAUUUUUAUCUCAAUUGACGGUACCAGAGGAAUAAGCACCGGCUAACUCCGUGCCAGCAGCCGCGGUAAUACGGAGGGUGCGAGCGUUAUCCGGAUUUACUGGGUUUAAAGGGUGCGUAGGUGGGCUUAUAAGUCAGUGGUGAAAUCUCCGAGCUUAACUUGGAAACUGCCGUUGAUACUAUAGGUCUUGAAUUAUCUGGAGGUCAGCGGAAUAUGUCAUGUCGCGGUGAAAUGCUUAGAUAUGACAUAGAACACCAAUUGCGAAGGCAGCUUACUACAUAUAAAUUGACGCUGAGGCACGAAAGCGUGGGGAUCAAACA